UCUCUCGUAGCUUAGUGAUCAGAGUAUUGGUAUGCAAAGCCAAAGGUCCCGGGUUCGAUUCCCGACGAGAGUG
rfam:Agrilus planipennis Contig63230, whole genome shotgun sequence.